rnacentral:tRNA from 1 species
GACGUGGUGCCGGAAUGGUCACGGUCCUGGUUGCAACCCAGGUACAUGCAGGUUCGAGCCCUGUCCACGUCUCCA